rnacentral:rRNA from 1 species
GGGGAAAAGAAACUAACAAGGAUUCCCCUAGUAGCGGCGAGCGAAGCGGGAAGAGCUCAAAUUUAUAAUCUGGCACCUUCGGUGUCCGAGUUGUAAUCUCUAGAAGUGUUUUCCGCGUUGGACCGCACACAAGUCUGUUGGAAUACAGCGGCAUAGUGGUGAAACCCCCGUAUAUGGUGCGGACGCCCAGCGCUUUGUGAUACACUUUCAAUGAGUCGAGUUGUUUGGGAAUGCAGCUCAAAUUGGGUGGUAAAUUCCAUCUAAAGCUAAAUAUUGGCGAGAGACCGAUAGCGAACAAGUACCGUGAGGGAAAGAUGAAAAGCACUUUGGAAAGAGAGUUAACAGUACGUGAAAUUGUUGGAAGGGAAACGCUUGAAGUCAGACUUGCUUGCCGGAGCUUGCUUCGGUUUGCAGGCCAGCAUCAGUUUUCCGGGGUGGAUAAUGACGGUUUGAAGGUAGCAGUCUCGGCUGUGUUAUAGCUUUCCGUUGGAUACAUCCUGGGGGACUGAGGAACGCAGCGUGCUUUUUGCGAAAGACUCGUCUUUUUCACGCUUAGGAUGCUGGUGGAAUGGCUUUAAACGACCGCU